UGUCGAUCUCAGAAUGAACGUCGAAAGAUCUUGAUAUCAAAACAUGCUAUUGCUACUUUUGUGCUUCCCAUCCGGUUUAAAAAACAACUCAGUGCCCAGGCGAGAUAUCGAUCAACAUCCACCAAACGUUUGGCACACCUAACCCUAUUUCCUUCUUCUCACGAUCAAGAUGCGGAGGAUGGAGUAUUCAGCGAUCCAGUUUCGCUUAGCAACAGAUGUGAGCUGUAAAUGAGCCAUGGCUCGAGCCACCACAAAAUCGAUAGAGAAAACAGAAAACCCUACGGGUGUGUAAUCAUAACGUCGUCAUCAUCCUGCGGCUUCUCAUUUGGUUUCAAGGAAAAUGAAAAUAAAAUUAAUUUGCUUCUUUUUACCGCUAGAGUGAAUAACAUGUGAAUAGCAGCUGUAGGCUAAUCUGUUUAAUGUUCGAUGAUGAAAUUUUUGUGUGCCAUGCUCCGUCCCAUGUGUGAAUUACUUUCCGACGUUUUAUUUUGGUUGGACCGACAUUGAACGAGUCAAAAAGACCUUAUGUGUACAACGAUGAAGACGUCACUAAACUGGCAACAGCUCCUAUAAAUACAUCAAAGAUAUGCACUCUUCAUCGUUAGAGAGCCGCAGAGAAUCAGCCUUUAACUAUUUAUAAACUAGAAUAUAAGAACAUUCUAGUUCCUCUUUCCCUCCUGGUCUUGCAUUAAUGUGGAAAAAUUCCUCCUCAGAAAGAAAACAACAAACCAGAAUGAACACAAUAUCGAGUCAUUGAUCUUAAUUUAGCUCCAGGCCACAGAAAAACAAAAGGAGAAAAUAAUAUUCAAAUGUGUACAUGUUUCUCCUCUUCAUUGUUGACGUGGUUGUUUUUGUUUGUUGUUGUAUUGGCGUCCAGGAAAAUACAAGACACAAAA